UACUGGUGUUAUUGGUCAUGGAAAACUAUUUUACCUGCGUUAAAGUGUACUGUAUUUUUUUGGUCAGGGGCCUUGAGUGUUGUCAGUCAGCCCCUGCAUCUCAAAUAAAAAAGGAACUCAAUAAGCUGUUAGUGUUUGUUAUUUUAGUCCGACAGUGCAGCUCAUUCUUAUGUGCAGCACAAGCUGUGUGUUUAGUUUUUUUUUUUUUUUUUUUAUGUCUUUGUUGGUUUUUAUCCAGGUGGGUCCUUUCAACUUUCAGCCAACCCUAAGUGCACUGGACAGUGUAGCCAUUUACUUCCAUGCAGUAGGAGUUAUUGUCUUCCGGGGGGAGUUACUGUCUCCCUGCUUCUCCACAACUCCUAUAGAGAGGAAGGACUGUCAUUACUGCCAAGGAGAACUAAGAGAGGGAGCUGCAAAAACGUCCACCUAUCAUUGAACCACAGAUAGAAUAAUUGUUCCAUUAGCCAAUAUGGCUGACAAACAACUACAUCCUGUUCUAGAAGAUAAAGUUAGUUGUCUGGAUUGCAAACUGUAAUUUCUCUGGCAUUGGCGGCCCCCAUGAACAUCUCAAGCAACCACAUUCUGGCACAGCUCCCAUAGGCUGACUGUUUUCUUAAGAUUAUAGAGAAAAACAAAUCACAACAGUGGGUUAGACAUUGAAGUAAAUCCUUCACUCUGUUUAAGAAUCUAAAAAGAAAUGCUGGCCUUGGUUCUUAAUUCAGACAUGUCAUUAAAUAGCCAUUAUUAGGAGGCUGAAAAAAGCAGUCCUGGCACUAGUCAAAGAGUGAGUCUUAUUCUGCUCUGUUCAAGCUCUGUUUUGGGUAUUGCAAUUGCCAGAAAUAGCUGAGGACAAGCACGUGGCUGUGCUUGACUAAAGAAAUACCCA